CGGCCCAUUCCUUAUAAUUCCGCGAACAUAAAGGGGUCGCGGAACAGUGCAGUUCGCGAAACAGAGAGGGGCGGGCGACGGGCGUUCGUGCGGGAGAGCAAGAGUGUUAUUUUGGGAGAGAUUGGAAGAACGAGAGAAACGGACGAUAAGGCUUAAGGGAAAGGUUUGUUGAAUUUUCUUUCAGAUUUUUUCGUAUAAAUUUCCUCCCUUUACCUCAUCCAAAGUGAAUGAUAUAUUUCUUGAAAGAUAAGGAAAGAAUUGAAGCGAAGAAAGAGGAAAUUUCGAGAAGAAGGAUUUUGAGAGUUUGAGAAGUCUCCAUUCAAAAGAGUAAGUGAAUUCCUUCCAAUUUCAGUUUUAAUGAUAUUUAGAAUUUAAAUCAAAAUAUUAUAUUGAUAGAAGUUAUUGUUUGAAAUUAGGGUUUUUGAAAGUGAAAGAUUCAAGUCAUAAGUGUUGAUCCCGCGAGGAUUUAGCAAGAAGAGAAAUUGAUUCAAGAAUAGAUCAAGCAUCGAAGGCCUGAAAAGUUCAAAGUGGGUAAAUUAUAUUAUUUUAUGUUUUAUUCAUGAUUUCAAUUUUCUAAAUAAUUGAUUAAAAUAUUGUAUUAUAAAAUGUUGAAGACAAAUCCUUAUGAUAUUAUAGUCUUAAGAAAGAAUCCAUCUAUGAUAAGCUUAUGAGAAAAGAAAGGAAAUAAUUUAUAAGGAUACAUGUGAUAUAUGCUAUAUGCAAUGAUAACUAUAAGGAUGAAAAUGAGAAAUGAAAAGAAAAUAAAGGAAAAGGGUAUUACAAAAUGACAGGAGUCACCCCCUUAUGGUACUGGCUGGGGACGCCGUACUCGUGCACGAAAAUGGAAAAGGAAAAGGCUAUGGAAAUGGAAAAGGACUAUGGAAAUGGAAAAAUGAAAGCAAAUGGAAAAGGUUGUACCUUCAGGUACUUUGAGACGGUGCUCCUGUGCAAAGUAAAU